GACGAACGCUGGCGGCGUGCUUAACACAUGCAAGUCGAACGGAAAGGCCUCUUUCGGGGGGUACUCGAGUGGCGAACGGGUGAGUAACACGUGAGUAACCUGCCCUUGACUUUGGGAUAACUUCAGUAAACUGGGGCUAAUACCGGAUAGGAGCUCCUGCUGCAUGGUGGGGGUUGGAAAGUUUCGGCGGUUGGGGAUGGACUCGCGGCUUAUCAGCUUGGUGGUGGGGUAGUGGCUUACCAAGGGUUUGACGGGUAGCCGGCCUGAGAGGGUGACCGGCCACAGUGAGACUGAGGUGCGGCCCAGACUCCUACGGGAGGCAGCAGUGGGGAAUAUUGCACAAUGGGUGGAAGCCUGAUGCAGCAACGCCGUGUGCGGGAUGACGGCCUUCGGGUUGUAAACCGCUUUCGCUCAUGACGAAGCUUUGUGUGACGGUAGUGGGUAAAGAAGCACCGGCUAACUACGUG
rnacentral:rRNA from 1 species